UAGUCGGUCCCAAGGGUUGGGCUGUUCGCCCAUUAAAGCGGCGCGCGAGCUGGGUUCAGAACGUCGUGAGACAGUUCGGUCCCUAUCCGUCGCGGGCGUUGGAAAUUUGAGAGGAGCUGUCCUUAGUACGAGAGGACCGGGAUGGACUUACCGCUGGUGUACCAGUUGUUCUGCCAAGGGCAUUGCUGGGUAGCUAUGUAGGGAAGGGAUAAACGCUGAAAGCAUCUAAGUGUGAAGCCCACCUCAAGAUGAGAUUUCCCAUUUCUUUAAGAAAGUAAGAUUCCUGAGAGAUGAUCAGGUAGAUAGGUCAGGAGUGGAAGUACAGUGAUGUAUGGAGCGGACUGAUACUAAUCGAUCGAGGACUUAACCAAU
rnacentral:rRNA from 1 species